AAUCCUAUUGCACAUACUGUCAGGACUUGGUCUGUGGCGUGGUUUGCUCUCCCGUGGUGCAAGUGAAUUGGACCAUACGUGGCGUGCAGAGCCGACUACCAGCGCCGGAGUUUUUUCUCAUUAAGCUGUGUGUGACUGUAGAAGAGUUGGGAUUUAUAAGAAUGGUCCUGGUUUACACAGGCCAGGCUUCUCUUUUUGAUGGCGAGCUAAGGAAAAGAAGCAUCUAGUCCAAGGAUCGUUCUUGGAAGAUUCCAGCCAGGAACCCCACCACCUGUUCUGUCUGGGCGGGUAGGAGGCUCUCGAGCCGACCCUUUACAAUUUUCAUUCUUAACCUGCAGCACAUGGACUGUGCUGCCAUCCUUUUUUUCAAGAACUCUAUUAAGUUUGAGCUGAGAUUUUUACAAGAUCCAGAGACACUAAUUAAUGGACUUAGAAUUGUAUAUAUGUAUAUAGUAACUGUGUUUUUUUUCAAAUUGCUUUCA